UUGAUGACCCAUGAAGACGUAGUACUCGCGUCAUUAGUGGUAGAACUGGAAGUAAGUCCAGAUCAGAAGUAAAUCCUAAUUAACUUGAUAUUUCAAAUAUGAGAGAUUCUAAAUUAUUUUUUAUAUAAUAACUUAAUUACAAAUACUUUAAUGGAGCUUGGGUUAGAGAGAGUGAUAAGAUCGCCGACCGUUAGAGUAGCGAGCUUACAUCUUUGGAGUUUCAGAUUUCUAUAGGCCUAAUUCCUAACAGAAAGCUACGAUACUUCUAAAGGAUUAAUUCGUAACAGUAAACAAUGAGAUUUCUAUAGGCCUAAUUCCUAACAGUGAACAAUGAGAUAUGUAUAGGCCUAAUUCCUAACAGAAAGCUACGAGACUUGUAUAAGCCUAAUUCCUGACAGUGAAAUAUGAGACUUCUAAAGAAUUAAUUACAAACAGUGAACUAUGAUACUCCUAUAGGAUUAAUUCCUAACAGUGAACAAUGAGAUUUCUAUAGGCCUAAUUCCUAACAGUGAACAAUGAGAUUUCUAUAGGCCUAAUUCCUAACAGUGAACUAUGAUACUCCUAUAGGCCUAAUUCCUAACAGUGAACAAUGAGAUUUCUAUAGGCCUAAUUCCUAACAGUGAACUCGAAUAAGGAAUUUUUAGCAGCCUUACAAAAAACAGACUCAAGAUAAAAAGAUUUAUGUUCGUGAAGAAGAUAUUAAAAGUACAGAGUAAGUAAAAUGACAGCUAGAUUUGAAGACCCAUAACGGAUAUAUCUAUCUGCGCACGUUUAACCACGAUCGUUGGCGAUCGUUGAAAGAUGGAUUUAAUAAUAUUCUGAAGGAGAAGAGGAGAAAUGAUUCAUUUUGUAACGAUGGAAGUACAGAACUUAGCGAUAAUACUGGCAUGUUUACUGAACUCACGACCUGUACAAACGAAAAAAAAAAACUCUUUUUUUUUAACGCUUAUUUCUAUUGUGUUUUACCUUUUGCCACUUCCUCGUCUUUUUACCCUAUUUCCUUUAGUUUACGCUCCAUUAUUGAAAGCAGUAAGUUGUUCUCAUACGAACUGCGAUUCGUUGCUAAUAUUUGAAUGGAAAUGUCGCUGUUUACCUGCGUUUUAUUCGUGUGCUUAAGCAGAACCGAAAGUAUGGAAAGCAAUAUUUCCUUCUAAGAGAUUCUCGAUAUAAACAUAUUUUGUUAGUUUCUUGAUUUAGAAACAAUAUCACUUCAUUUUUCACACCUUCGUUGGAUAUAACAGUUGUGUUGAAUACAGAACUUGGAACGUUGCCAAGGGUGACAGCUCCGGCUGUUUAUAUUGCUUUGAUAGCUUUAAUAAAUCAAGACUGUUAGAAUACUGUGAAAGAAACAACUUUACCCUUGUUUCAAUCAUUAAUAAAUCAAGACUGUUAGAACACU